AAUUGUCACAUCAUAAUUAACUCCUUGUGAGGAACGAUCUGGUGCUGGUGCCCUCAGACCAGGCAGGCUCAUCAUCAUCAAAGAGAAUGAUCUGUGUUAGGGGAGCGGCAGGACCUCCAGGAGAACAUGGCCAAGUUCGCCUGUCUCUGCUGCACGGAUGCCCGGUCCUCAUUACUGGCCUGCCUACCGCUGUACUGCAUGAAGACGCAAGCCCCAAGGCAUGUUGAAUGGAGCCAGGCCUUGCACCAGCACAAGAGACAAGAUCCAGUAGAUGGCAGAGCGAGAACGAGGAAGUCGACGGCCCCACCGCAGGACCGGGGGGGCAUGCAGUCCC